rnacentral:misc_RNA from 1 species
AUCAACCCAGGAUACAACCCCAGUGUGACUGGCAGUCAGGUUGUUCCUGGAACUGUGGCCUCAGGAUUCACUGGUAGCAGAAACAACUUGUGCAUCUACAAGAAUAAACUGUACAACCAGGGAGACAAAUGGGAUGAUGGAUGUGAAUACUCCUGCGAGUGCAAGGAUGCAAACAGUGGAUACUACGAGUGUAGUCCAAAAUGUCCCAACUACAAUCUGCCCACCGAGUGCUAUCUGAUGAGAGCUGGUGGAGACUGCUGCCCACAACCAAUGUGCAGAAACCCCUGACGGAUCGACCAUCAACCCACUGACCAGCCCAAGCUCCCAGUACCCAGUGUACGGAACCUACCCAGGAGGCUUCACUGGAUUCAGACCGGGAUACACCCAGCCAUUCGCCACCGGCAGCAAUUCAUUCAGCAAUCAGUCCAAUGUUUGCAUCUACAAGGGAUCCAUCUACAGACAAGGCGAGACAUGGGAGGAUGGAUGUGACUUCAAAUGUACCUGCGUGGAUCAGUCCAAGGGAAUGUACCAGUGUACUGCCAGAUGUAAGACCUACACCUCCCUCCCUUCAGUUUGUAAAAUGUACGAUGUUCCUGGUGAGUGUUGUGCAGAGGUCCGUUGCAAGACCCCUGAGAGCUCACCCACACCCCCAGUCAUUGGUGGACCCACUGUUAGGCCUUAUCUUGAUCCACUCUGUCACGACACCAUCGACAACUGCAAAAACUACCAGAAGGAGGUGGCCUGUCGUGGAGCCUAUGAACCAUGGGCAAGAUCGCACUGUAACCUGACCUGUGGCUUCUGCACGCCAUCUGUAACCGUGCAACCAGUUUGUGCCAACCGUAUCAACAACUGUGAUUUGUAUGGUAAAUCUGUCUGCACUGGUACUUACCGACCUUGGGCAACAGACAACUGUGCAAAAUACUGCAACUUAUGUACAAACUCUGCUCCAACCACUCCUGCCCCCACCCCAAGCACUGUGUGCCAGGAUAAGCUCGACAACUGUCAGGCAUAUGGUAAAUCCAGCUGUACCGGACAGUUUGAACCCUGGGCGCGUGACAACUGCCGUUUCUACUGUGGAUUCUGUAGUUCCACGGGAUCAGUCAUUAACUUCCAAGUUCAGCCUCCCACAGGGUACACAACUCUGAUGAAGGGUGUGGCCGGAGUGCCAGGGGACAUGUACCAGAUCUGGACCAGCCCAGCUACAAUGAACGCCAACAACCAACAGGCUAUGUAUCUUACCAACACAUUCAAGGGUCACUACAAAACUGACCUGUCACAAUGGAACAGCAUGUGUCUUGAUAGGAUUCGAGUGUCUAUCUACAAGAAUGGACAAGAGAAGGCAUGGAUCGAGUUCAAUUCAAUUGGAGCCAAUCAGAACAACUGGUUUGAUCCUAGCAGAAUCAUUGCUUCCAGCUACACAGACAUCAAGACAGCAGCCAAGGAAGUUUUCAGCAUGAUGGGUGACACCAACACUGGGCGGGAGUUCCUGAUGAGUCAGCACUCUAACACUCAAUGCGAUACCUAUGGAUGGAUCAUGAUCUCCACCCAGAACAACUGUCCAUUUGAGGCUAGUGCUGGUGGAAAGCCUGCCUUCCUUUACUCUCCUGGCCAAACAUCCUCCCACUUUGAACAGACCCAAGUUGGAACUGGAGAUGUUCUUGCUAUCAUGGGCCACCAUGGAACAUGCAUCGUCACUGUGAGACCCACUUUCCAAGUCACAAAUACUGCUGCUUGUGUAUACAAUAACAAGGUCUACAACCAAGGAGACUCCUGGACCGAUGGUUGUAAAUAUAACUGUACAUGCACAGAUGCCAGAAACGGAAACUAUCAAUGUGUAGAACUAUGUCCAACCUAUUCACAACUCCCACAAGGCUGCUCCCUGGUGAAGAGCCCUGGAUCUUGUUGUGCUGUGCCAAACUGUGGUAACCACGUCUACAACCCCAACAGCAAUAACCCAGCAGAGAGAGGUUUGUGUUACUACAAAGGAGAUGUGUACUCCCAGGGAGAGCAAUGGGAUGAUGGCUGUCAGUACAAGUGUACCUGUCUGGAUGCCACCUUGGGCAGAUAUCAGUGUAAUCCAAAAUGCUUGAGCUGGCCUAACCUUCCAAGUGUGUGCUCUCUCCAGGCCCCUGCCCCAGGGUUGUGCUGCCCGCAGCCCAAAUGUCCCUCCAAUGUCCAAAUCAAUUUCCCCCCUGGAUACAAAAUAGAAUAAACACUCCUCUUCUAUUUGAUCAUUUCUUAGUGCAAUGAUAACAAAGACUAUAUUUAUUUGGUGCAUGAAGACACUGUACUGUUAGUUAUUAUUAUACAAUAAAAUUAUAUUUUGUU